rnacentral:sRNA from 1 species
AUUCUACCCAUGUGGGGAAGGAUGAGAAGCUUCGACUAAGGUUCGAUUCGAGCGCAGCGAGAAAGCGUUGCCGCAGGCAACGACCCGAAGGGCGAAGCGCGCAGCGCUGAGUAAGCCUUCCCCCACCACCA